rnacentral:rRNA from 1 species
CCAUAGCUAGUGUGAGUAACGGCUCACAAAGCGACGAUGGUAGCCGCUGAGAGGGUGGACGGCCACACUGGACUGAGACASGGCCCAGACUCCUACGGGAGGCAGCAGUAGGAAUAUGCGCAAUGGACGGAAGUCUGACGCAGCGACGCGCGUGAGCGAUGAAGGUCUUCGGAUCGUAAAGCUCUGUCCUUGGGGAAGAAGGCGAAAGCUUGACGGUACCCAAGAAGAAAGCCCCGGCUAACUACGUGCCAGCAGCCGCGGUAAUACGUAGGGGGCGAGCGUUGUCCGGAAUUACUGGGCGUAAAGGGUGCGUAGGCGGCCCUUUAAGUCGGAUGUGAAAGCCCGCGGCUUAACCGCGGAAUGGCAUUCGAAACUGGAGGGCUUGAGUGUCGGAGAGGGUAGUGGAAUUCCCAGUGUAGCGGUGAAAWRMGUARAUAUUGGGAGGAACACCAGUGGCGAAGGCGACUACCUGGACGAUAACUGACGCUGAGGCACGAAAGCUAGGGGAGCAAACAGGAUUAGAUACCCUGGUAGUCCUAGCCGUAAACGAUGGGUACUAGGUGUGGGUGGUUUCGAUACCAUCCGUGCCGUAGUUAACGCAUUAAGUACCCCGCCUGGGGAGUACGUGCGCAAGCAUGAAACUCAAAGGAAUUGACGG